rnacentral:rRNA from 1 species
CCUACGGGAGGCAGCAGUGAGGAAUAUUGGUCAAUGGGCGUAAGCCUGAACCAGCCAAGUCGCGUGAGGGAUGAAGGUUCUAUGGAUCGUAAACCUCUUUUAUAAGGGAAUAAAGUGUGGGACGUGUCCUAUUUUGUAUGUACCUUAUGAAUAAGGAUCGGCUAACUCCGUGCCAGCAGCCGCGGUAAUACGGAGGAUCCGAGCGUUAUCCGGAUUUAUUGGGUUUAAAGGGUGCGUAGGCGGCCUUUUAAGUCAGCUGUGAAAGGCUGUGGCUCAACCAGAGAAUUGCCGUUGAAACUGGGGGGCUUGAGUAUGUUUGAGGCAGGCGGAAGGCGUGGUGUAGCGGUGAAAUGAUUAGAUAUCACGCAGAACCCCGAUGGCGAAGGCAGCCUGCCAAGCCAUGACUGACGCUGAUGCGCGAAAGCGUGGGGAUCAAACAGGAUUAGAUACCCGAGUAGUC